rnacentral:rRNA from 1 species
GACGAACGCUGGCUGCGUGCUUAACACAUGCAAGUCGAACGCUGAAGCCCCAGCUUGCUGGGGUGGAUGAGUGGCGAACGGGUGAGUAACACGUGAGUAACCUGCCCCUGACUUCGGGAUAAGCCCGGGAAACUGGGUCUAAUACCGGAUACGACUAUCGGACGCAUGUCUGGUGGUGGAAAGUUUUUUCGGUUGGGGAUGGGCUCGCGGCCUAUCAGUUUGUUGGUGAGGUAAUGGCUCACCAAGACGACGACGGGUAGCCGGCCUGAGAGGGCGACCGGCCACACUGGGACUGAGACACGGCCCAGACUCCUACGGGAGGCAGCAGUGGGGAAUAUUGCACAAUGGGGGAAACCCUGAUGCAGCGACGCAGCGUGCGGGAUGACGGCCUUCGGGUUGUAAACCGCUUUCAGCAGGGAAGAAGCCUUCGGGUGACGGUACCUGCAGAAGAAGUACCGGCUAACUACGUG